CAAUAGCGUAUAUUUAAGUUGUUGCAGUUAAAAAGCUCGUAGUUGGAUUUCGGGUAGGAUUUGCCGGUCCGUCUUUGAGAUGUGUACUGGUAAGUCCUAUCUUCUUGUCGGGGACCAGCUCCUGGGCUUCACUGUCCGGGACUGGGAGCCGACGAAGUUACUUUGAGUAAAUUAGAGUGUUCAAAGCAAGCCUACGCUCUGAAUAUAUUAGCAUGGAAUAACACGAUAGGACUCUGGCUUAUCUUGUUGGUCUGUGAGACCAGAGUAAUGAUUAAGAGGGACAGUCGGGGACAUUCGUAUUUCAUUGUCAGAGGUGAAAUUCUUAGAUUUAUGAAAGACGAACUUCUGCGAAAGCAUUCGCCAAGGAUGUUUNCAUUGA
rnacentral:rRNA from 1 species